rnacentral:rRNA from 1 species
GGGCCCGCACAAGCGGUGGAUUAUGUGGUUUAAUUCGAAGCAACGCGCAGAACCUUACCUAGGCUUGAAAUCCUCAGAAUUCGACGUAAUGGUCGAAGUGCCCGCAAGGGAAUUGAGUGACAGGUGCUGCAUGGCUGUCGUCAGCUCGUGUUGUGAAAUGUUGGGUUAAGUCUCGCAACGAGCGCAACCCCUAUCUUUAGUUGCCAGCAUUAAGUUGGGCACUCUAGAGAGACUGCCCGGGUUAACCGGGAGGAAGGUGGGGAUGACGUCAAGUCCUCAUGGCCCUUAUGCCUAGGGCUACACACGUAAUACAAUGGUGCAUACAAUGGGAAGCGACCCGGCGACGGUAAGCAAAUCUCAAAAAGUGCAUCUCAGUCCGGAUUGGAGUCUGCAACUCGACUCCAUG